CAAAUUAGAGCUUGUUUAAGUAUUUUAUUUACACUAAAGAGAAAAUUGUGAGAUUCAAUUUAAUUUGA
rnacentral:tRNA from 1 species